GGUGGCUCAGUGGUAGAGCACUUGUGUAGCAUGCAUGAGGGCCUGGAUUCAAUCCCCAGCACCA
rnacentral:tRNA from 1 species